ACACGCUGGCGGCGUGCCUAAUACAUGCAAGUCGAACGGGAUUCUUUGAUCAGCUUGCUGAGAGAAGGAUCUAGUGGCGGACGGGUGAGUAACGCGUGGGAAUCUGCCUCUUACUGGGGGAUAACAGUGGGAAACUACUGCUAAUACCGCAUAAGAUCUUCGGAUGAAAGGUGCAACUGCACCGGUAAGAGAUGAGCCCGCGUCCCAUUAGCUAGUUGGUGAGGUAAAGGCUCACCAAGGCGACGAUGGGUAGCCGGCCUGAGAGGGUGAACGGCCACACUGGGACUGAGACACGGCCCAGACUCCUACGGGAGGCAGCAGUAGGGAAUCUUCCGCAAUGGGCGCAAGCCUGACGGAGCGACGCCGCGUGAGUGAUGAAGACCUUCGGGUCGUAAAGCUCUGUUCUUGAGGACGAAUAAGCCAGGGAGUGGAAAGCCCUGGUGAUGACUGUACUCAAGGAGAAAGCUCCGGCUAACUACGUG
rnacentral:rRNA from 1 species